rnacentral:sRNA from 1 species
GCCCUGGCCCCCAGUGCCCACCCGGUCGGCCCGGCACAGCCAUGAUCAAGGCGAUCCUAAUCUUCAACAACCACGGGAAGCCGCGGCUCUCCAAGUUCUACCAGCCCUACGGUAUAUAACUGGGAGUAAAAUUGCCAAAUCAUAUGAGUGAAGAUACACAACAGCAAAUCAUCAGGGAGACUUUCCAUUUGGUAUCUAAGAGAGAUGAAAAUGUUUGUAAUUUCCUAGAAGGAGGAUUAUUGAUUGGAGGAUCUGACAACAAACUGAUUUAUAGACAUUAUGCAACGUUAUAUUUUGUCUUCUGUGUGGAUUCUUCAGAAAGUGAACUUGGCAUUUUAGAUCUAAUUCAAGUAUUUGUGGAAACAUUAGACAAAUGUUUUGAAAAUGUCUGUGAACUGGAUUUGAUUUUCCAUGUAGACAAGGUUCACAAUAUUCUUGCAGAAAUGGUGAUGGGGGGAAUGGUAUUGGAGACAAAUAUGAAUGAGAUUGUUACACAAAUUGAUGCACAAAAUAAGUUGGAAAAAUCUGAGGCUGGCUUAGCAGGAGCUCCAGCCCGUGCUGUAUCAGCUGUAAAGAAUAUGAAUCUUCCUGAGAUCCCAAGAAAUAUUAACAUUGGUGACAUCAGUAUAAAAGUGCCAAACCUGCCCUCUUUUAAAUAAAAAUGUAAAAAGGCCACUCCCAGGUAAAAUCCAGGGUGAGGAGUCAUCUAAGUUUACCAUGCAGUUGUUUACCAAAAAUAGAGGAGGAGAGUCUUAACUUUUGCUCUUGGAUUUAAGUCAAGGUACUGUAUAGAAGUUGUGUAAAAUCAGUAUGAAAGUUCAAUGUUGCUUUUCUUGCUCAGUGAUUUUAAAGAAAUUGAGUAGUUCCUAUGUGAUUUUUUUUUUUCUUUUCUAAACUGCAUUCCUGUGCCCACCUACGGCAUGCCUCUAUGUAUUGGCUACUACAGUGUUUUAAAAAGUGUUUCAGACAUUUCUCUAAUUAUGUACAACCUAAAAUGUUGGUGUUUUGUAUGGAUCACAAGUGCAGCAUUCCUUAAUUCCUUCUGCUAUAUGUCACACAAUUGUUAUUUAAAGAACCAAGUAUGUAUUGCAUGAAAACAUUAUGACUUUUUUCUCUUAGUUUAAAUAAACUCCAAGGUAACUGGACUUCUAAAGCACCUUUCUGUUUGCCUGAUAUCUAC